rnacentral:lncRNA from 1 species
UUUUUUAUUUUCUGCUUCAUAAAAUUUUCUACCUUUCUCACAUUGUCUAGAAUGAUCAUUAUUACUUUUAUUUGCAGAAAAAUAUUAAGUGUUAUAAUGAAAUGCUUGCAGGGGCUUUAAAAAGGUGAGAAAUAGCAGAGUAUUUAUUUCCUGUCCCGAGUAUAAUAUGAUAGCUGUAAUAGUCGUUAAGAGUUCUGUCCCAAGAACUUGACCCAGGGUAAAGUCUUCCUUCCUCUUCCCAUUCUAUCUGAUUCUCCCGACGUGAUUCCCACCCACAAUACACAUUAAUUUUAAUAAAAGCAUAUAAUUAAGUACAGGCUCUAAACACUGUCCCAGGUCAAUAGGACCUAGAAGAAUUAUAGAAGGUGUCACGAGAAGGCAACACUGAGCUGAAUCUUAAAGAAUUCAGAGGAGCAUGAGAGAGAGAGGAUGUGAAUCCAAAGUCCUUCAAAUUACCUUAUUAUUCAUCUCUUCUCCAUCUGAUAGCUCUCAGUGUUGGAAAACUGCCUCAACACCAAGUAUCCCAGGAGACGCAUAUAUGACUACAGAGUACUGAAAUAUAUUGAAACAUAUUUAAACGUGCACACGAAUAUUUCAUUGCAUGUAUUUUUAAGUUUUCAAAUUCCUACCCCAACAGAAAGAUUUCAAGGCCAACACUCUGUAAGGUAUCCCAGGAACACUGCUGGUGGCGUAACUUUCACGGCAAGCCAUUUGGCAACAUUUUUCAAAAUUACAAGUGUACAAACCCUUUGACCCAGCGAUUCUAUUUCUGGAAAUUUUUUCUAAGACUCAGACAUGUGUGAAAAAAGUCUUUGUAAUUGCAAAAUCUGGGAACAACCUAAAAACCCCAUCACAGCACAGAGGUUAAAUAGUGAUGGGUACAUAAAAUGGAAAAAUGAUUGAGGAGGCCCUAUGUACGCUGAGAUGCAUGGCUUCCAGGAUAAGAGACACAACAGGAGUGGCAUAUCAGGUGUGUGGGAACAUUUGGGGGGAGGGAUAUAUACAUUUGUUCCUAUGCAAAGUAUGUCUGGAAGAUCACAUUAAAAAUUAGUAACAGUUAACCUCUAAGAGGGGUACUUGAGGCUGAAGAUCAAGGGUACCUAUAAAAUUCUUCAUUACGUUUCUCUUUCAUCCAUUCAAACAAAAAUACGUAUCCCUUAAAUUUCCAAAGAAAUUUUAUCCAUUUAUCUCUCCCUCCAAAGAAAACUUCAAAGCCAAGACUUUACAUAAUAAAAUAGCCACUCAUGUGAACUUGGAAAGUCUGCCAAAGUUCACGGAACUGUCAUCCUGUCAUUUUUUAAAUGGUUAAUAUGUCAAACUCUCUGUAAAGCCGUUACCUGCUUUCUAGUUUAAGUAUAAAAUUUCUAAAAAUGCCUAUGAGACAGCUCCUAAAAAGAAAAUAAUACUCGGAUUUUGUUUGAUGUUCUCCAAAUACAGAAAACACUCUUCCUAUGACAGGAAACUCAACUUCAAAAGCCACUGUGUGGGAACUCUUGUUCCUGGGGACCCAUGUGUAUUAGCCACUCGGGGAGGGGAAGGGCAAACAAUCCUACCUGCCAGUGUGUCUGCCAACAACGCUGUGUGACAUUUUCUCACUGCAGGCAACCAGUCACAGCUCUAGUUGAUGGCAUUUUGGCUUCAUACUUAAUUCUAAGACAUCCCUGAGGCUGCGCCCAAGAAUAAAAGUUCUCUGCAGACCAUCCUCCCAAAUAAGCACCACGUAGCCAUAUGCCUGUGUUGCUAUAGAUCUGCGGCAAUCAGGAAAGACGCCCGAGAAACAAUCUUUGAGCAGCUUGGAACAAAGGUGCAGUCAGGCCCCAGCUUCCCAGCUAGAAGGGGCCAUGGGGCUACCUCACUCCCUUACCAGCCACAUCUGCAAUCGCCUCUACAACAUCCCCAAAGCCACUCGAAUUAUGUUCACACACUCCAGCUUCCACGUUCUUCCAUAUGCACAGCUUCACCUCUGCUUGAGGUUUCUCAGAAUCAGGGCCAUCCUUGCAGCAAUGCUGUCUUCCUGCAACUCAGCAAAUGACAACGCUUCCUGGGUUCCGAAGACAAGCGGCUCCCUGUAUGCAGUGCUUACCCAUCUCUCAAGAAGUACAACAUCCUAAGGCAUCAGGACCACCAAGGGGCAGACUGAAAUGAAUACUCAGCAGUCAAUCCACCCCAGGUCUCAUCCCAUUUCAGUGUCUAGAAGGAGCCUUGGCUGUCACAGAAGGGGAUACGGGAUAACUUGCUAUAGUCCAUCUAAGGUCUUUGUUAGAAAGUCUGAGGGAAACCUGAAGCCAGCCAGGACCGCCCUGGUCUGAAAGCACAACAUCUGCAGGACACGUGGUACCUCGGGUCUCAGCAUCGCUAACAUGAGGAAAACACAGACCCAUUCCAGAGAACGGCGGUGAGCAUUAGAGGAGAGACUAAAAAACAUCUGGCCCUUGGUAAUUACGCAUUACUGUGAGAAACUGCACAAAACACUAACAAUAAAGGAUUCACCAUGCUCAAGAGUAAGUGGAGAAAACGCAAUACAGUAAAGAUUAAAAUCUAUUCUAACGGACAGGCUGUGCAGUUUUAAGUCAACACCAAAGUUCAAGGACUGUUGUGGCAAACAGUGAGAUUCGCCCGGCAGAACUAGGCCAAAAGGUUAAAUUUUCUUUUCAUAAUUUAAUAAUAUUACAAUGUGACUAUAAAAAUAUUACAGCCUCAUAAACCCUGGAGGGCUGGUUAAGCAGAAAACUUAAUCAAUGAAAACACAGUAAGAAUUCUGUGAAUAAGUAGCCAUAAACUCUUUUUUUGCCACAGCAACGCAGGAUCUAAAAUGUCCUGUGAUCUACACCAGAGCUCACAGCAACACCGGUUCCUUAACCCACUGGGCCAGGCCAGGGAUCAAACCUGUGUCUUCAAGGAUACUAGCUGGGUUCAUUACUGCUGAGCCACGACGGGUACUCCCAGCCACAAACUCUUGAAGAAGGGAUUCUAUUCAUGUUCAUCCCUGUUGAGUUUCCACCUAACACUGCCUGGAAGGUACUAGGCGCCUAACAAACAUUUGUUAAGGAAAUGAACUGGGAACACCAGGUGUAGUGUAGGAAACAUUAAAGUCAUUUUUCAUGCCAUAUACUCAAUUCUAAGAGCAAUUAUUGUGAAAUUAUUUUAUUGUUUGGUUGAGUCUGGGCUUGAAAGACGAGAUCUGGGUUUCAUCCAGUUGUGUUCCUUACUAGCCAGGCGAAUAGUGUACGCUCGCUAAGUCUGUCGUCCCUGAGGCAAGAUAAGCUUCAUCUUGCGAUAAGUCAACUCAUAGGAUGGCAAGAAUUAAGUGAGAAAAGUAUAUUUGUAAUAUUAAGUAUUUUUACUUAAAAGCUAAGGAAAAUGACAGGCAUUUUAAUCUAAGCUUUGGAGGAAAUACAGCCUCUGAAGGUGUGGGAAUUAUCAAAAACAAAGGCAGAGUUAUUUGAUUAUGUGAACGUGUGACAUAAUGAACCACAGCACAAUAAUGUUAAAAAUAACAAUAUCGGAGUUCCCUGGCGGCCUAGCGGGUUAAGGAUCUAGCAUUGUCACUGCUGUGCUGCAGGUUUGAUCCCUGGACCUGUGAACUCCUGCACAUGAUGGGCAUGGCCAAUAAAUAAAUAAUAAAUAAAUAAAUAAGACUAAAAAAAAACCAGUAUCGUAGAAAACACAUACGUGGAAAACAUAAAUGGAACAGUGAUAUCAUUCUUCUAUCAAUUACUUACAUAAGAUACAAGCAGAUUUCCCUCAAAGUUUUUUAACAAGACAGUACAAACAUUAAUGAGAAGUUAUUGAAAUUUAUAAUUUAAAAAACCUCCUAACUACUAUAUAUAAAAUAAAUAACGAGGUUCAACUGAAUAGUACAGGGGACUACAUUCAAUAUUUUUAAUAACCUAAAAUGUCAAAGAAUAUAUAUGUGUGUGUGUGUGUGUGUGUGUGUGCGUGUGUAACUGAAUCACUUUGCUGUAUUCCAGAAACAGAAUACUGUAAACCAGCUAUACUUCAAUUAAUUUCAAUAAUCUAUAUUAUCAACAAUCUAUAUCAGUAGGCUAACUCUACAAAAAUAAACAAAGCAUCUCAAAUGAAGAUUCCAACCAAAAAACCCAAAAUCCAAUUAAUGGAGUCACCUUGAGUUUUAAAUUCAAACUGUGAAAAAUAAUCACCUUGAUUUCUAUUUAGAGAAACAUACCACUAAAACUAAAAUUUACAUACUUUGUGUCCAAAACAAUACUAUUAGCAAUAAGAUGGCAAGCACUAGUUAGUGUUUACUGUGGCACUAUUUUAAGUACUUCAUAAGAACUAACUUAUUAUAUCUUCAAAAUAAUCUCCAACAGUAAGAGGUAAUCUGACCUGAAGACAUACUGAGUGCUGGGGUUGGUGGGGGUUAAGAUCUUGAAAGGUAUUUUAGACACGGCUUCUUUGACACAGCUCAGUAAUCAGAAGGACUAAACCUUAUUUAAACACAGCCAUAAAUUUAUCAUCAGCUGCCCCCUUCCAUGCUUAUCUCCACUGUGCAGGUGUGUAUUUGCAAGACAAGAUAAACUCUACAGUUUAAGGAGCAGAAAAAUCAAAAACACCUUUGCAUGUUCACUUCAAAUCAUCUCGGUUCAGGAUUGAUGCAGUUCCGCCAACUCCCCAGGAACCCAUUCUUUCCUCUCCAAGUGCAGCACCUCAGUAAGUCCUCUUGGGCUCCUACUAUUGUAACGUCGAUCAAUGAACAACCAGUGGGGGCAAUCGGCAAAAAUCACAUGACAUAUUUAGCUGCAGGAAGAGCAGAGACUAACACCCGCAAUGAUCAUGAGUUAUUUCAUUUUAGCUGCACAUAAAAUAUUUCUAUCUGUUCAGGGGCAAAUGUACCUGAUGUCACCUACUCCAGUAAGGUUUGCCUUAUGUCUUUUCAGUUGUCUAUUGUAGUUCACGGUUGAGUCUCUGAGCUUUUCCAGUAAGAAUGGCUGGUUUCUGGGACUCUACCCGAUUUGAAUGCAGCGCAUUCUCAUUCCCGGGAAGUGUCUGAAAUAGUUGGAGACUCAGGGACCUUCCCCCAAAUGGAGAACUGGGAAAUGGGGCUUAGAAUGCUUCUAGUGAUGUCACUACUUCCCAGUUCCUUCCCAGUACUUCCAGAAAGGACGGAGGGUCAACGGAAGACUAAAGGCCUCCAACUCACAUUGCAGAACGUGCAGCACUGCCACGGGCUCCCCCGAGCCCUGCCUCUGAGAUGUUCUUCACACUGCGCUGUGGAAGUGACAAAAUAUAUGAGGACUGUGACCCCAGGCAAUCACCAGGUAUCCAGACAGGAACCCUUUCUCUCACUGCUGCAUCCAAGCCCCUCGCCCAGCCCUGGCAGUGGGCAUCUGCCCCAGACCUAUCAUGACUGGGAGCUCCUGAUGCCUUAGUCUUCCUGAAUCCCUACAGCAAGGUUCUGGAAGUCUGAUUUCUUCCCACGGAACCCAAACUGCCUCCUGCCCCCUAUCAUCUUCCCACAGCUGUCACAUCCAACUUAAGGCAACCAGAAGACAGGCCGCAUGGAAACAGGGCUUUCGGAAACAGGAAGUUCACAGACUGAGGUCCCAGCCCUGUCUCCAAAUGUAAAGGGGAGCACACCCAUCGCCACGGAGCAGUUCUCUCACCCCUCCACUAGACUGCAUAUUUCCAAGGUACUGCUCUGCUCCACCUCGGAGUGGCUGGUGAAUGAGGCACAGCCCCAGCCACAGCUGAGUUUCAUGGAGGGGAGACCAACAGGUAAAUAAGACUUAUUACACUCCAAGAAAAGGGUCCAGAAUUCUGGAGAUUGUUUCUGCAGGAAAUAAGGUCCAUACUGACCCUGAAGGAUAGGAGAAUCUAGAAUCAGCUUGGUUUAGGAGAAAAUAGCUCUCUUAGGGUAAGGAAGGGGGUUUGGCGUUUACACACGUAGGUGGUGAGGGAAGAUGGGGAGUUCAGGUUGAUUCAAGCCCCUAGUGUGUUGACCUCGAUAGGAAGUGACACCCUCCCUCCGGGAGGGAACACAGGAAAAGGAACAGGUUUCAGCAGAAAGCCCUUGCAUUUUGCGUGUGACAUUUUGAGUUUAAGAUAUGUGCAGUCAACCACAUGGAAAAUCCAGUGGGCAGCUGGAAUGUGGCUGCCUGAUGAGAGAGGGGUCUGAGCUACAGACGAGCUUAGAAAAAAGUGUCAGGAGGGCAGAGGAUCACAGGCUAGACCACACCUGCAUUCAACAGGUGACCAGCAGCGGCGGCCCUCAAAGGACAGUGAAAGGGAACAUUCGGGGGAGGAGGAAUGUCAGGAGAGCCCAAGAAGGGGAUGCUUCCAGGAGGCGGGCAUGGUCCAGGUGCAAUCCAAAGGAAGGGCAAAUCAGAUAAGGACUGAGGAGUAUCCACUGCAGCUGUUAGGAGACGGCUGGCCCCUCGGCAAAGGAGAAGGGCUGCCAGCCACACGCAAGGAGCCAGAGCCUGAAUGGGAGAGGCAGCCAGCC